rnacentral:lncRNA from 1 species
GUGAGUGGCAUCAGGAUGUCUGAGAGGAGAGCAUGGUGUUUUUGCUUCAUUGGAUCCAUGCAGGUCUUGGAGGGUGGUGGCCCACUCUUUCUGGGCCAAGUAGAGGGUGGCUCAGACACCCCCCCUUCCUCCAGGCUUCUCAUCUGUAACUGGUGAAGCCCGGAAGAGCUUGUUGUUCAAGAGGAAAUCUUGUGUUACUUCUUUAUGAAGGACUCCAGCCUGGUGGAGAUGAAUGAGUCCUGAAGAUGGAAUCGAAGCUGUUUGGGCACAAGUAAGCUGGAAGGGGUUGAGGGACAUUUUCAAGGAGUGAUGUCUUGAGAGAAAAAUGGAAAGAAAUCCACAGGCAGAAAAGAGAUAUCUAGAUAUGAAAACAUGGGGCAGGGGGAGGGAGAGAGAGAGAAGAGAAUGCAGAGAAAGAGAGAGACAUACAGGAGAGGACGUGUAGGUACCAACAGAGGAGAUGGCCCAUGAACUCAGAGGAGAAACUCUUCUUGCCUCAGCCAAAGUGAGCUUCCUAAAAAGCCAUUUUGACCCCUGCUAAAAAUUCUCUCCUGGCUGUGAUUCCUACGGGAGUCAGUUGCAGUGUCUUGGCUGGGAAUAGGUGAGCCUCUCCAUCUACCCCCAGUUUCUCUCUCCAGCCUUAUCUCUCACUUGUCCUCAACUGUGACCUUGCCCUUCUGCCACAUGAGCCUUCUUAGGAUCCCCAAGAGUGCCAGCCUCUUUCAGAACAGUGUGAUUUUAUCUGUGUUUAUUUCUGUCUAUCCUACUCUCCUGUAUUCUUUCCCUGGCAAACUCCUACUCAUCCUUCAAGACUCAGCUCUCAGAUCUCCUCCUCUGUGACAUUUUCCUGACAUUCCCAGGAGGCAUUAUUCAUCCUCUGACCCCCACCCCCGACUCUAGCUAGGCUGCAUUGAAAAAUGUCUGUGUUUACAAGUCUCUUGCUCUACACCUUCCUUCCUCUACAGCUAUUCCUCUGCUCAUUCGUUUACUCAUUCAAGAAAUGUACAUUAAGACCUUACUGUGUGACAGAUAUUGUUCUAGACACUGGGGAUUUAGCAAUAUACAAAAUCCCCUGCCCUUCUGGAGGUGUAUUUGUGGAUUUCAUUCAUUUCAGUAGCUGUAUUUGUGGAUGUAUUAAUGAGGCUCUUUUAUAGUAAGAAACAGAAACUUGCUCAGGCUAGCUCUAGAAAUGGGUAUUACUGUAAAAUGGUGGCAAUAAGGAAGGCAGAAAAUCUCACAGAGACCCAAGAGCAGCUGCACAGCUGAGCUUCACAGCUUCUGUAACUCGUUAAUUGGCUCAUUCAUGGCCCUUCCUAGGCCCAUGUCAUUUAAGAAACUUUUUAUUGUGAUAUGAAAUACAUACAUAAAAGUGCAUAUAUCACAAAAGUACAGCUCAAU